CCUGGCCCAGGCGGUUGCUGCUGCUGUUGCUGGUUGCUGCAAGCUUGGUCUCAGGAGCUUCUGGAGAGAAGAUGGCCAGGCCCUUUCCUACCUCUGGCUACUGCUAGCUUGGUCUCGGAGCUUUUGGGAAAGCACACCCGGAGUGGCUGAACUGGACAGCUCCUACCAGCACUGCUGCUGUUGCUGCUGCCAUUGUUUCUGCUGCUGCCCCCCUCUCAGGAGAGCGGGAGAUUCCCUGCUGCACCACCUUGCACUACCUGACAACACACCUGCACUGGAUUACUUCCUAAUUGACUGACUGCUCCUGCCCUUCCUCACAGCUACCUCACUGCAUCUGAUCCUGCUUUGUCUUCCUGCCUACUGCUCUGCUGUUGAGCACUUACGGACAGAUUUUCAACAAACAAAGCCCCUCCACUGCUCCA